AUGGCAGCUCCGCAAAACGUUACUGUUGAUUCUACUGGUUCUUUGUCAAUUUCGUAGACCAUACAAUUGCAUUUACCUGCAAGUGGUGUAAAGUUAUGGUUCUUGAAGGAAGGAACAUGGUGGAAUCCAAAUCAACUUCAGCAUCUUCGUCUUCUUCUUCGCCGCCCAGGACUCAGAACUGCUGCGGGAUUCACUCGACGGAUUUAUGUUCUUCCAAGAUCAUGUUGCAGAAUCACGGCAAUUUCAAGCGCAGCGCCACUCCGGUUCGCUUUAUGUACUUCAGUCACGAUGGUUCCUGGCUGAAUUUCCCCGACGAAGUGCUCGGUUCUCUGAAAUCUGCUUUUGUAGAGGGCAAGCCCAUGGUUGACUUGUUAAUCAGUGGCUCCAGGUAUGUUUUUGAUUUCAUGCGCAUGUUGCAAACUGAUUUCGACUCCGGCUGUCAGCGAUCGAUUGCGUGGAUUGAUGAGAAAGGGAAGUGUUUUUUCCCUAAAAUGUUUGUCGGUGAGGAUUUUGAUGGUAGGCCGGAGAAAUCGGAGAAUCCUAAAAUUGAAAUUGAGAUUCGGAUUGAUAAUAGUCCAAUUAAGCGAAAGAGGGAUGGAUUGGAUAAAGAAGAGCCCGAGGUUAAUUCGUCGAUUAAGCAAGAGGAGGAUGCUUCGAAACGGCCGCGUUUAUGUUUUCCCGAUGUGGAAACAUCUAGAUGGCCCAAUGCUAGGUUAUUGACAGAAGGUGAAAAAGCUUAUUCAAUGGUUAGGGAUUAUUUUUUGUCUGGGAUAAGGAAAGUUGAUGCCGGUGCUACAAUUACCGCCAUUUAUCAAUGCACGCGCGAUGGUCAUUUGGAGAAGGCGCGUUAUGAGGUUUUCCAAAAGCAGAUUGAGAUUACAAAGGCCGCGCGUGGUCUGUCUAAUUUGGUGUAUGCUUGGCAUGGCGCAUCGGCGAAGGGUGUGGAGAGUAUUUUAGCGCAUGGGUUUGGGGUACCUAGCAAGAUUUCCGGUACUGAAUGUUAUGGGGUUGGUGUUUAUCUGUCUCCUUUGGGAUUGCCCUAUAUGAGUGCAAAGUUAUCGGAGAUGGAUGGUAACGGCGAAAAACAUCUUAUACUGUGUAGAGUUAUCUUGGGUAAUGUUGAGAAAGUCGAGAUGGGGUCACAACAAUAUUAUCCUUCAAACUUUCAAUUUGAUACUGGUGCAGAUGAUCUUAACAAUCCCAAGUGGUAUAUUGUUUGGUCAAGCAAUAUGAACAGACACAUUAUCCCCGAGUGUGUUGUGAGCUACAAAUCUGCUCAUCAAGUGCAAGGCCAAGUGAAAGGACCGACUUGUAUGAAAUAUUCCCUUGAGAAAUUGUUUUCGAAGAUGAGGAAUUUGCUCCCUCCCACCAAAAUUCGGGAAGUGGUGACAUUAUAUGAUACUUACAGAGGGGGUAAGUUGGCCAGAGAUAUGUUCAUAAAGCAGUUGCGAUUGAUUGCUGGGGAUGAGGCUGUGAUGUUUGUGAACAAGUAUAAUAUGAAUUACUUGAAGUCUAAUUAGAAAGAGAAGGGUAUGUUCUAAAUAUUAUCUUAUUGCAACAAGUUCCUUUGCCUAUUGCAAUAUUAAUUUUAGCAAUUACCUGCCUAAAAGAAAAAAAAAAUCUCAGAUGUGAUUGAUAUUGUUUAUUUUGUGGCAACAAGGGGGAUUUGGAUAGAAAAAUAUUUGACACAUUGGCAGUUGGUUCAGUGAUUUCACAUCGGGGGUCACUAUUGUUAAUUUACUUUGACACAUCAGGUUAUUGAUAAUUACGUGCAUCAUGUUUCUGUGAGAGUUGUGGUUGUGAAAGAAAUUUUUAUCAGGAUAUGAAGCAGCAGAAUGAGAGCAGCGUUGCAGCCUGAGGUUUUUUUCAAGUAGUGUGUGGGUUUUGGAACCUAGCAAGAGUAAUGGUUUUGAAGUCCAAUAGUUUGAAAUAUUACCCGAGGCUAAUGUACUAGCGUGAUUGAGCCUUGGUAAUUAAGGAUCAUUUAUAAGGUGAAUAUCAUUGCCUUUGAUUGACUUCAAGACUUUUACUUUCAGCCUACCAUCAUAUUCAGAACCUGAAUUAUCUUUUCUUGGAUAGUAGGUGUGGAUGGUCUCAGAGCCUCGAAGCUAUUUAUGGAAAGAGGUAAAAAUCAGAGAAUUUCAUUGUGCUCCUGCGCCAAAUGAGAUAGCACCAUCCUUGUUGUUAUGAGUGGUGAUAGUUGAUGUUGCUAUGAGCCUUUGACGAUUAGUCCAAAUGCCAUGUGAGCCUGUAAAAGAAGAAAGUUGUGAAGUCGAUAGCUUUCUGGCUAACUACUUCAACGCUCAAGUAAGAGAUAUUGAUUGAGAAUAGAGAAAGUAUGAAUAUGGAGUUCAAUUGAAAA